GAUGAACGCUGGCGGCGUGCCUAAUACAUGCAAGUCGAGCGAACGGACGAGAAGCUUGCUUCUCUGAUGUUAGCGGCGGACGGGUGAGUAACACGUGGAUAACCUACCUAUAAGACUGGGAUAACUUCGGGAAACCGGAGCUAAUACCGGAUAAUAUUUUGAACCGCAUGGUUCAAAAGUGAAAGACGGUCUUGCUGUCACUUAUAGAUGGAUCCGCGCUGCAUUAGCUAGUUGGUAAGGUAACGGCUUACCAAGGCAACGAUGCAUAGCCGACCUGAGAGGGUGAUCGGCCACACUGGAACUGAGACACGGUCCAGACUCCUACGGGAGGCAGCAGUAGGGAAUCUUCCGCAAUGGGCGAAAGCCUGACGGAGCAACGCCGCGUGAGUGAUGAAGGUCUUCGGAUCGUAAAACUCUGUUAUCAGGGAAGAACAUAUGUGUAAGUAACUGUGCACAUCUUGACGGUACCUAAUCAGAAAGCCACGGCUAACUACGU
rnacentral:rRNA from 1 species